UUCUCAGGAAAGUGCCAACCCCCAGGACCACAAGCCACCCAUCUCUUCAACACUUGAAUGUUUACUGAGCAUGUUUACUGGGGUCCCUGGCACAACUACCAGACUCAGUAAAGCUGCCUAAGACAACAUAGGACACCUGAGUCUUCACAAGAGGCCCUGGGAAUCACGUAGCCAAAUGGUAGCAGCAUGAAAUUUGGAUGAGAAACUUGACCUGCAGGAGACUUUCACUUUAUUUGUUGCUUGAAUUUUUCUGAGGAUGCACUGUAUGCCCAUCAUGAUGAAAUAAGGCAAGAUGAGCUCACAGACCACCUCCCGCCACCCGCCUCAGCCAUGGACCACCUGGCUAGAGAAUCGUAAGCCAGAGACAUCCUGACUCCCAAAACACGAUUAAGAAAUGUCACAGAAACGUCACAAGAUGAUGACUAAUCCCAGUUCCUUUGUCCUUAACCUUUAAAACAUCCUUAACUCGAAGACCAAGAUGGGGUGGAUCGGAGACUUGUCUCCCACUCCCUUGCUUGGGGCCCUGCAAAUAAACCCUUA